AGAGAGUUGGCAGAAUUAUAUGCAGUUGAUUUAGGAUCAUCCAAUGGAGAUUAGCUCUACUCUCU
rnacentral:tRNA from 1 species